GUUGCCCUACGGGACGCAGCAGUGAGGAAUAUUGGUCAAUGGACGCAAGUCUGAACCAGCCAUGCCGCGUGCAGGAAGACGGCUCUAUGAGUUGUAAACUGCUUUUGUACGAGGGUAAAUCCCGAUACGUGUAUCGGGUUGAAAGUAUCGUACGAAUAAGGAUCGGCUAACUCCGUGCCAGCAGCCGCGGUAAUACGGAAGAUUCAAGCGUUAUCCGGAUUUAUUGGGUUUAAAGGGUGCGUAGGCGGUUGGAUAAGUUAGAGGUGAAAUCCCGGGGC
rnacentral:rRNA from 1 species